rnacentral:lncRNA from 1 species
CUAACUGUGGGCUUUUUCUCUUUUUUUUUUGUUUGUUUGUUUUUAUUCUCUGCUUAAUAUUAUAGAGGAGGCAGUGGAAUAUGGAAUAUAUUAUGUUCAAUAUGAAUUGACUUGAAUAAAUAUAAUUUUGUACUCAGGUGCGGUACUGCCCUGAUGUCUUCACAGAGAGGUGAAAAUGUUUGAUGCAAGGGUAGAUGUUGAAUGUGCCCCAUUCAUGAGGUAGCUGAAGAAGAAAGAACCUGACUGCAGGCACGAUUACAUUCCAUUGAAUGCUAUCAAGGUUCUGAUACAAUGUCAGCAAAGGCCAAUGUAAGAGCAACGUGAUGGAAGGCACGGAGCAAUACCCCCUGUAUAAAGAUAUAGGAUGCCAGAGUCCCACAUGUGGCUUGGCUGCAUACAUGCUAUGUAUGACUUGGAUUUGUUUCCAGACACCAAAAAUAGUAUCACUUAACG